UAAUUUUUUUUUUGCUUUAGAUUUUAUUUGUUCAGUCAGUGAAAGGGGUUUGUUUAUAAAAGAAACAAAAAAGACAUGAAAGCGUAUUUUCUCACUAGGUUGGGUUCAAUACAUGGAGAAUUCCCUGUGCCAAAGCCACGAAGUGAUCGGCCAAGACAGCCUCGCAUGAUAGAAGAGCAGCGUGCAAUGCCUGCUCAGGUUUGUUUUUCAAAUAUUGUUUUUUUUUUAGACUAACCUAUAUUUAAUACAUAUGAGGUUGGGUGUUGGUGGAGUUGGGGGCCGGCUUUGCUCACAUCCGGAAUUCUAGGCCAGGUCAGCUGGACUACAUAGUACCACCCUGACUCCAUUAAACAAAGUCAUAAGUAUCUAAGUGGUUAUGGUCCAGAGUCAGGUUCUUGUCAUUCAAAGAUUUUAUUUCAGAUGUCUCCUAACAUGUCGUUGGAUUGUCCACUUUCACUUACUUGUAUGGUUUUAAUCAGUUUUCCCAAACCAGGGUUUCUCAGCGUUAGCACUGUCAGCCCUUAGGGCUGCCUGAUUCCUGCGAGGGAACUGUCUGGGCAUUGCUAAGAUGUUUAGAAUUCUUGCCUCUGCUCACUAGAUACUAUAUAAGCACCAUACCAGCUAUAACCAAAAAUGUCUCUACUGUAGACCCCUGUGGGACAAGAUCACAUGCAGUCGAGAACCACUGUCCUAAGCCAUUGGUUGUGACUUUGUUUAACCGAAAGACAGUUGAGCUAGCUGUUGGGUGACAUUAACCUGUCUACCAAAAAUAUAAAGAUAGAACUGAAAUGAGAAGACUUUUUUUUUAACACUGUAAAGUUUUAAGACAGGUAAGUUUAAAAGCUAGCAAGUCUAACCAGAACUUUGAGGUUUGGACGGGCAAUAGAGAAGGAGAGAUUGUCAACUGCCGUGUGACCUGUGUGACGGGUGCGUGAGCCUGUUGAUUUGUUUGCCAGUUGAAAUGCAUGGAAGAAUCUCACCAAGAAGCAACGGAGAAGGAAGUGGAGAGGAUCUUGGGAUUGUUGCAGACAUACUUUCGAGAAGACCGUAAGUAUGGCGUCACGCUCAAAAGUACCACCAAUGGUGUUUAGCGGGCUUGUCACUUCCUACAAGGUGGUUUUAUUUAAAAGGCAUUUUCAGUUGCAUAUAUUUGAGUUAUUGUGACUCUUUCCUGUGUUUCUUUUUUAAAGGAGUUAUUGCCCAGGCUGGCCCGGAACUCAGUAGUUUAGGCUGGCCUCAGACUCAUGGGUGUCUGCCUGCCUUCACCUCCCGAGUGCAGGAAUUAAAGGCAGAAGAUACACCUGUCUCACUUCCUUUUUUUUUAAUCAAACAUAUUUUAUGAGGCUUUUCCUCCUAAAUACCUCAUGUGAUGUUGAUAAAAUAACUUAAAAAGUGUUUUAGGUUACUUUUUUUUUUUUUAAAGAAAAAUUUGUUAUUUUUAUUUUAUGUGUAUGGGUGUUUUGCUUGCCUAUAUGUCUGUGUACAGCACACAUGCCAGGCCCUGUGUUCUUAACCUCGGAGGCAUGUGGCCAGCCCCCAUAAAAGUAUCUCCUCCCUUGUAUUCCUCAUGUUGGUCACUUGUCAAACGGGUGCCUGCUUUAACAGUGUUUCCUGUUUAUUUCAUGUAAAUAUACAUGUCAGGUUGGGGGGGAGGGGUACUUUUUCUUUUUUCCAAGCUAAUCAAUCAAUCGAUCGAACGAUCGAUUGAUCAAUCAAUCCUGAUAUACACUUUCUGAGGUGUGGCUUUUCCCUGUAGACGUCGUUUGACAUCCUACAACUUGCCCUUAUUCUUUUCAGGGUUUCCCAUGGGAUGGCUAUAUCAUAAACAUAGUUAAUAAUCCUUAUCACUGGAAAGGUUCUUUGUUGCAUUUUCCUGCCGUACAAAGACUGCUGAAGUGGGUCUUUGUUUGAGCCACUAAUUGCUGAGGGUGGCUGCCAGAUCAGUUAUCUGUAUUUUAGUAGAAAUGCCAAACUGACCUUCAGAAUGGUCUAUACCCCACAGCAGGAGGCCUGCGUGUUCCUUCUUGUUGCUAGUUAACAUUAGGGCAUAGACCUUGUUCUGAAAUAAUAGUUUUGUGUGUGUGUGUGUGUGUGUGUGAUUUGAAGAUUGUCUUUUUCUUUUUUUCUACAGCUGAUACUCCAAUGUCAUUUUUUGAUUUUGUGGUUGAUCCACAUUCUUUCCCCCGUACAGUGGAAAACAUCUUUCAUGUUUCCUUCAUCAUACGGGUAAGGUUUUAGGUUUCUCUAACAUCUUGUGUGUUUUAAAAAUGAUACACCACUGAGAGAGGUAUUUGUCCAUUAUAGCAGAAUAUUAAUUGGUAUGUUGGGUAAACUAAAAUUUAUGGGUUGCUUUUAGUUUUUAAAAAUCACAAGGUAAUCAUUACUAAUUUGAAAUUGGAAAUUUUCACAACUACUGAAGCAGGCCAGUUAAAUUAGAGUGUGACGUUACCUUCUGGCAGUGUAAGGUGUAUAUGGAGCAAAAAUGAAUUUCAGGUUUAGAUUAGGUCCCAAUUCCAAAACACCUCAUUGUAUCUAUGCAGAGAGUCCCAAAUUCUUCUAAAUUUGAAAUACUUCUAGUUCUAAGGAUAAUGGUAAAGCUUGAAAAAGAAAUGAUUGCAAUGUGGUAACGUUCCUGAAGUUUUCAUGCUAUAUAAAAACAAGCUUGCCGGGCGGUGAUGGCGCACGUCUUUAGUCUCAGCUCUCGGGAGGCAGAGGCAGGCAGAUCUCUGUGAGUUCAAGGCCAGUCUGGUCUACAGAGUGCGUUCCAGGACAGGCAGGGCUACACAGAGUAACCCUGUCACAGGGUAGGGUGACACAAAGAAAAAACUUAUUCC
rnacentral:lncRNA from 1 species